GGGGGUGUAACUCAGUGGUAGAGUGUCUGCUUCGCGUGCAGAAAGUCCUGGGUUCAAAUCCCAGCUCCUCCA
rnacentral:tRNA from 1 species